UUACGAUCAUAUCACGUUGAAACACCGCUUCUUGUAUGAUCAGUGAAGUGAAGCAACAUUGAACAUGGUCAGUAGCUUGAUGGGUGACCGCUUGGGAAUGCCAAGUACUGUA